rnacentral:misc_RNA from 1 species
GAUGAAGAACGUAGCGAAAUGCGAUAAGUAGUGUGAAUUGCAGAAUUCAGUGAAUCAUCGAAUCUUUGAACGCACAUUGCGCCCCUUGGUAUUCCAUGGGGCAUGCCUGUUCGAGCGUCAUUUGUACCUUCAAGCUCUGCUUGGUGUUGGGUGUUUGUCUCGCCUCUGCGUGUAGACUCGCCUCAAAACAAUUAGCAGCCGGCGUAUUGAUUUCGGAGCGCAGUACAUCUCGCGCUUUGCACUCAUAACGACGACGUCCAAAAGUACAUUUUUACACUCUUGACCUCGGAUCAGGUAGGGAUACCCGCUGAACUUAAGCAUAUCAAUAAGCGGAGGA